UACGUAGGGGGCAAGCGUUGUCCGGAUUUAUUGGGCGUAAAGAGCGUGUAGGCGGCUAGGUAGGUCCGUUGUGAAAACUCGAGGCUCAACCUCGAGACGUCGAUGGAAACCAUCUAGCUAGAGUCCGGAAGAGGAGAGUGGAAUUCCUGGUGUAGCGGUGAAAUGCGCAGAUAUCAGGAAGAACACCCGUGGCGAAGGCGGCUCUCAGGUACGUGACUGACGCUGAGACGCGAAAGCGUGGGGAGCGAACAGG
rnacentral:rRNA from 1 species